AUACUUACCUGGCAGGGGGGAAGCCAUGAUCACGAAGGUGGUUUUCCCAGGGGGAGGCUCAUCCAUUGCACGCCGGAUGUGCCGACCCCUGCCAUUUCCCCAAAUGUGGGAAACUCGACUGCAUAAUUUGUGGUAGUGGGGGACUGCGUUCGCGCUCUCCCCUG
rnacentral:snRNA from 1 species